AGUCUGGUGCCAGCAGCCGCGGUAAUUCCAGCUCCAAUAGCGAAUAUUAAAUUUGUUGCAGUUAAAAAGCUCGUAGUUGGAUCCAAGGUUAGGCAUGCCUGUCUGUUCUUAGUAGCAUGACUGUGUGUGUCUGCCUUUAUUAGUUGAAUGUUCAUUAUGGUGGUCUUCAUCGACUGCUAUGAUGUGCUCAACACGUUUACCUUGAAAAAAUCAGAGCGAUCAAGGCAGGCCUUCGUGCUUGUAUGUUGUUGCAAGGAAUAAUAGAAUAGGACUUCGGUUCUAUUUUGUUGGUUUUGAGAAUUGAAGUAAUGAACAAUAGAGACAGUCGGGGGCAUUUGUAUGGUGGCGUUAGAGGUGAAAUUCUGAGAUAGUCGCCAGACAAACUACUGCGAAAGCAUUUGCCAAGGAUGUCUUCAUUAAUCAAGAACGAAAGUCAGAGGUUCGAAGACGAUCAGAUACCGUCCUAGUUCUGACCAUAAACGAUGCCGACCUACAAUCGGGGGUGGUUUAUUAUAUUGACCCUCCCGGCUGUCCUCAGGAAACUUUAAGUUGGUUCUGGGGGGAAUAUGGUCUCAAGACUGAAACUUAAAGGAAUUGACGGAAGGGCACCACCAGGAGUGGAGCCUGCGGCUUAAUUUGACCCAACACGGGGAAUCUCACCCGGUCCGGACACUGGUAGGAUGACAGAUUGAUAGCUCUUUCUUGAUUCAGUGGGUGGUGGUGCAUGGCCGUUCUUAGUUGGUGGAGUGAUUUGUCUGGUUAAUUCCGAUAACGAACGAGACUCUGUCCUGCUAAAUAGUCCAGUGGCAUCAAUCACUAUGUGAUUACAGCUGCUGUUACUUCUUAGAGGGAUUCGCGGAUUUAAACCGCAAGAAAUAGAGCAAUAACAGGUCUGUGAUGCCCUUAGAUGUCCGGGGCCGCACGCGCGCUACAUUGACAGUAGAAGCGAGUAUUUCUACCUGGUUCGAAGGAAUUGGGAAAUCUUCGAAUUACUGUCUCCACAGGGAUUGAGGCUUGCAAUUUUGCCUCAUGAACGAGGAAUUCCCAGUAGGCGCAAGUCAUCAGCUUGCGUCGAUUACGUCCCUGCCCUUUGUACACACCGCCCGUCGCUACUACCGAUUGAGUGCAUUAGUGAGGACCUCGGAUUGAGAACAUAGUGGCGCAAGUUACUUUGUUUUUGAAAAGUGGUUCAAAUUUGUGCAUUUAGAGAUAGUAAAAGUCGU
rnacentral:rRNA from 1 species